rnacentral:ncRNA from 1 species
GCAGAUAGAGGCGCACUGUUCGAUCAGUACCCUUCCCGCCAAGGCCCGCAGGCUUUGGGAUGGGGAAAGGCGUUCGGUGCCGAAGGCAGGGGCCGCUGCGGUGCUCCUGUGCUGGGCCGGCAACCUAAUAGCUGCCGGACUGUCGCAUCUUUAUGCGGAGGGCUAUCGC